rnacentral:rRNA from 1 species
UACGUAGGUGGCAAGCGUUGUCCGGAUUUACUGGGCGUAAAGAGCGCGCAGGCGGUCGUUCAAGUCGCGUGUGAAAGCCCCCGGCUCAACUGGGGAGGGUCACGCGAUACUGAUCGACUCGAAGGCAGGAGAGGGAAGUGGAAUUCCCGGUGUAGUGGUGAAAUGCGUAGAUAUCGGGAGGAACACCAGUGGGAAGGCGACUUCCUGGCCUGUUCUUGACGCUGAGGAGCGAAAGCUAGGGGAGCAAACGGG